rnacentral:rRNA from 1 species
GACGAACCGUGCGAACGUUAUUCGGAAUCACUGGGCUUAAAGGGCGCGUAGGCGGGCCGCAUAGUCAGGGGUGAAAGCCUCCAGCUCAACUGGAGAAGUGCCUUUGAUACUGGCGGCCUCGAGGGGUGCAGGGGCGUGCGGAACUUCGGGUGGAGCGGUGAAAUGCGUAGAGAUCCGGAAGAACACCGGUGGCGAAGGCGGCCUGCUGGGCAGUUUAGCUGACACUGAGGCGCGACAGCGUGGGGAGCAAACAGG